ACUUUCACCAAAACUUACAGGGAAACUAGCCAGUACUUUCCACCUAAGUAAAUACUAACAAAAGAGACCGGGCUGGAUUAUGAAGUUUGCACUGUUUGCCUGUCCUUAGUCUGAAAGUACUAGGUAAUUUCCCCAAAACUUACAGGGAAACUAGCCAGUACUUUCCACCUAAGUAAAUACUAACAAAAGAAACCGGGCUGGAUUAUGAAGUUUGCACUGUUUGCCUGUCCUUAGUCUGAAAGUACUAGGUAAUUUCCCCAAAACUUACAGGGAAACUAGGCAGUACUUUCCACCUAAGUAUAUACUAACAAAAGAGACCGGGCUGGAUUAUGAAGUUUGCACUGUUUGCCCGUCCUUAGUCUGUAGCUUGGCACUCAGAUGGUAACCCUUUAAAAACAGUUAGUUCAAUGCUUC